rnacentral:tRNA from 1 species
GCGGAAGUGGCUCAGUGGUAGAGCAUCUCCUUGCCAAGGAGAAGGUCGCCGGUUCGACCCCGGUCUUCCGCUCCA